rnacentral:rRNA from 1 species
UACGGAGGGGGCUAGCGUUGUUCGGAAUUACUGGGCGUAAAGCGCACGUAGGCGGCUUUGUAAGUUAGAGGUGAAAGCCCAGGGCUUAACCCUGGAAUUGCCUUUAAGACUGAGUGGCUUGAGUACGAGAGAGGUGAGUGGAAUUCCCAGUGUAGAGGUGAAAUUCGUAGAUAUUGGGAAGAACACCGGUGGCGAAGGCGGCUCACUGGCCCGGUACUGACGCUGAGGUGCGAAAGCGUGGGGAGCAAACAGG